rnacentral:rRNA from 1 species
UAGGAAUAUGCCUUAAAGAGGGGGACAACUUGGGGAAACUCAAGCUAAUACCGCAUAAUUUCCUUGGAAAAAAGCUAGGGACCUUCGGGCCUGGCGCUUUAAGAAUAGCCUGCGUACGAUUAGCUAGUUGGUAGGGUAAAGGCCUACCAAGGCGACGAUCGUUAGCUGGUCUGAGAGGAUGACCAGCCACACUGGAACUGAGACACGGUCCAGACUCCUACGGGAGGCAG